UACAGGGGGGGCAAGCGUUGUUCGGAAUUACUGGGCGUAAAGGGCUCGUAGGUGGCCAACUAAGUCAGACGUGAAAUCCCUCAGCUUAACUGGGGAACUGCGUCUGAUACUGGAUGGCUUGAGUUUGGGAGAGGGAUGCGGAAUUCCAGGUGUAGCGGUGAAAUGCGUAGAUAUCAGGAGGAACACCGAUGGCGAAGGCAGGUCUCUGGGCAUUAACUGACGCUGAGGAGCGAAAGCAUGGGGAGCGAACAGG
rnacentral:rRNA from 1 species